UAACCUGCCCAAGAGAUCGGGAUAACACCUGGAAACAGAUGAUAAUACCGGAUAACAACAGAUGAUGCCUAUCAACUGUUUAAAAGAUGGCUCUGCUAUCACUUAUCGAUGGCCUUGCGGUGCAUUAACUAGUUGGCGAGGUAACGGCUCACCAAGGUGAUGAUGCAUAGCCGACCUGAGAGGGUAAUCGGCCACAUUGGGACUGAGACACGGCCCAAACUCCUACGGGAGGCAGCAGUC
rnacentral:rRNA from 1 species